rnacentral:misc_RNA from 1 species
AAAGAAGCAAUGCUUAGUAGUUUAGAGAGAUAUUGUAAACCCUCUCUCUCUAAUAGUUUAGAGAGAAACUCUCUGUAUGGGUGAGUUCAUCUGAAACAAUAGUCUCGUUUUUUUACCAAGAUUUUUGUCGAUCGGCCCCUGCCCCUUCCCGGUGGGGGAUGGCUUUCCUUCUCCUCGUCGGACAUGGUUCUGCCUCCCCAUCUCCGAUGGAGUUGAAUAUAGGUUUAUGGGUUGGUUUUCUUAUAUGCAGGUCUGGAUUAUCUUGAGAGGGCCUUCAACAACCUGCGUUAGUUUGGUUUGUGGUUUUGUGGUGAUGGAUCUAUCCUUCUAUGGCCGCGUUUUCCGUUUGUUAGUAGGUCAUGCAAUCAAACAUCGGCGUGCUUCCCU